UCUCUUUCUUCAGAUGAUGAUCCCAAGCCUUCUGGCGAUCUAGACAAAACAAGUCCACCGUGGGCUUUGAAAAACGCUUUCCUUGAUAAAAUUUAAGCGCUUUAUAAGAGGAUGCCGGGGAAGGUUUUCCGGUUUAUCCCGGAGGGCUUGUAGCUCAGUUGGUU
rnacentral:misc_RNA from 1 species